CAUCCGCAUGCAAGAGGUUUGCAUGUUCCAAUCUCAAGACUGCAAGAGUCUUUACACAGAGCUCAUGGAGAAGGAGUCUACAUGAGACGUCUAAGGCUGCGUGUAUUAAGAUGACGGCAGUAUUCUGUUCCAGUCCCAAACUCUUUGUGGCAUAUAGAUGACAACCAUAAGCUAAUCAGGUGGAGAUUUGUUGUCCUUGAUGGGGUGGAUGGAUUCAGUCAGUUAGUUGUCUACCUGACUGUGGCUGGCAAUAAUAGAGCUUGUAUGGUCUUACAGAGCUUUAUCGUUGCUGUUGAGCAGUAUGGGCUCUGAUAAAGUGGGGGAGAAUGCAGACGUAGCAGAAUUCAUGAUCAGGAGCAGAGGUACUGACAGGAACUCGCACAUCACAGGCAGAAGUGUCUACAAUCAGCGAAUAGAGAGGAUGUGGAGAGAUGUUUAUGAACAUGCCCUGGACCUCUUCUAUCAGACUUUUACUUCAUUGGAAGAUCAGGCUACACUGAAC